rnacentral:rRNA from 1 species
AUGGAGCAGGAUGCCCUGCUGGCUUAUUCUCAGCAAGCGAAGCUACCCUUGGCUCUGUUUAUUUUUGAAAGCAACAAGAAGAAGCAGCUCCUGUUUGACCCCUCCACCAAGAAGAUCCGUGGCAUAAUCAGCGCGGCGUUCGCAGAUGCCACCUGCGUGUUCGAGAAUGGCGGGUGGCUGCUCAUGCUCCAGCACAAGCAACUUGGUUUCCAGGAGCAGAAAGAGCAGACCAUCUUCCUUGUGCAUGCCAGCACCGGCAGGAGGCUGGAGCUGCCGGCGUGCUCUUCUGUCAUUGACGGGCCCUUUGUUUUCUACGUCGGCUCCAGUGAGGUGCCUCUGGUCGUCGCGUGCAUUGAGACCAUCUCCGGGGUUCCAACCGUCCAUGUUGCCUGCCCUGGAGACAUUUACUGGAGCGUCUACAAGAACAUGGAAGAUUGCAUGCACCUACCGCUGGAUCCACACAGGCGCAUCAAGUGCACCCUCAUUAUCGAUGCCGUCUUGCUCGGGAAGCAGGCCGUCUGCGUCGACUACCAUGGGAAGAUCUUGAUCUUCGACGUCACGGAGAUGAGCUGGAGGAGGACCGCUCUUUCAAAGAGGUGGAACGAAAGGGAUGCUCACUUCCUUGUGGCAUCCGGUGAAAAUGUUGUGCUCAUCUCGUGCCGUCGCUUUCGUGGACGGUUCUGUGAUUUCAAGUUCUUCAAGCUGGAUGCUGAAGCACUGGAGUGGUCGCCUCUAGAUGACGCAGAGCUUGAUGGUUGCAGCUGGUUUCUUUACAGAGGCCGCUCCAUCCUUGCGAGGGAGGAAGGCAAGAGGAAAGUCUACACCUUCUAUCCAAGCCAGUGGGGUGGCUCGACGCCGAUUGAUGCCGACAGCUCGAGGAAGAGGAAGGUAGCCCAUAUGAAGUCAUUGUCUUCCAAAGAGAAGUCGGUUACGAAUAUAUUCAUGCAUGAUUUAGAAGAUGGCGUCGUCAGGAAGGUUCUCCCGGCUUCAAUUGUGACCGAGGAACGGCAUUGGCUUCGGUCUAGUGUCUUUGGUUGA